UCAGUUCAAAGAAGGGUCCAGACCCGACACGUCACCUGUCCAUUUCCCUCCAAAGUGCCGAUAUAACACAGCCGUGGUGGGAAACGGAUGGAGAAGUGUUCCCAAUAUAAGCCCUCCUUGCCCUGUCGAGAAUGCUGUGUCCAUUCUUGGGAUGGGAUGCAAGGUCCGAGCUGACCACUCAUGAUCAUCAAUAGCCCCCCACUCGUGGGCCAUCUCUUCGUCAUUCCUCUGCCUUCGCACUGGCAAAAGGCGUCAGGAUUAAUCCCGAGUCACCGCUUCCCGUUCCCCGGUCGUUACCCCUCAGCUACGAACGGUGGGAUCUCGUUCUCCGCUCUUGGACGUCCGCAAGACUCUGGCUGUGAUCAACAAGGACUUUUGCUCGUAACCUGCUGGAGCCAAGUUGUAUUCCAAUGAAAUAAAUGUGUUUUUUUUAAGCCCC